rnacentral:rRNA from 1 species
CACAGGUAGCCCCGAGUGGUGCCCACGAAUAUUGAGUCUAAAACGUGCGUAGCCGGCUGAGCCAGUUCCUUGUGAAAUGCACACGCCUAACGUGUGCGCGCGCAUGGAAUACUACUCGGCUUGGGAGCGGAGGAGGCAGAGGGUACUUUAGGGGGAGGAGUAAAAUCCUGUAAUCCUUAAAGGACCAUCGGUGGCGAAAGCGCUCUGCCAAGACGCGUCCGACGGUGAGGCACGAAGGCUAGGGGAGCAAAUCGGAUUAGAUA